rnacentral:rRNA from 1 species
UACAGAGGUCCCAAGCGUUGUUCGGAUUCAUUGGGCGUAAAGGGUGCGUAGGCGGCGCGGUAAGUCGGGUGUGAAAUCUCGGGGCUUAACUCCGAAACUGCAUUCCAUACUGCGGUGCUUGAGGACUGGAGAGGAGACUGGAAUUUACGGUGUAGCAGUGAAAUGCGUAGAGAUCGUAAGGAAGACCAGUGGCGAAGGCGGGUCUCUGGACAGUUCCUGACACUGAGGCACGAAGGCCAGGGGAGCAAACGGG